rnacentral:rRNA from 1 species
AUUGAACGCUGGCGGCAGGCUUAACACAUGCAAGUCGAGCGGGCGAGGUUGCUUCGGUACCUGAGCUAGCGGCGGACGGGUGAGUAAUGCUUAGGAAUCUGCCUAUUAGUGGGGGACAACAUUCCGAAAGGAAUGCUUAUACCGCAUACGCCCUACGGGGGAAAGCAGGGGAUCUUCGGACCUUGCGCUAAUAGAUGAGCCUAAGUCAGAUUAGCUAGUUGGUGGGGUAAAGGCCUACCAAGGCGACGAUCUGUAGCGGGUCUGAGAGGAUGAUCCGCCACACUGGGACUGAGACACGGCCCAGACUCCUACGGGAGGCAGCAGUGGGGAAUAUUGGACAAUGGGCGCAAGCCUGAUCCAGCCAUGCCGCGUGUGUGAAGAAGGCCUUUUGGUUGUAAAGCACUUUAAGCGAGGAGGAGGCUACCUGGAUUAAUACUCUGGGAUAGUGGACGUUACUCGCAGAAUAAGCACCGGCUAACUCUGUG